CAAUAGCGUAUAUUAAAGUUGUUGCAGUUAAAAUGCUCGUAGUUGGAUUUCUGGUGGGAGCGAUCGGUCUGGCGCUUAGCGCGAGUACUUGCAUCGUCUCCGGCCAUCCUUGGGGAGAGUCUGUCUGGCAUUAGGUUGUCGGGCAGAGGAUCCUCAUCGUUUACUGUGAAAAAAUUAGAGUGUUCAAAGCAGGCUUAUGCCGUUGAAUAUAUUAGCAUGGAAUAAUAAGAUAGGACUUUGGUACUAUUUUGUUGGUUUGCGCACCAAAGUAAUGAUUAAUAGGGACAGUUGGGGGUAUUCGUAUUCCGUUGUCAGAGGUGAAAUUCUUGGAUUUACGGAAGACGAACUACUGCGAAAGCAUUUACCAAGGAUGUUUUCAUUAA
rnacentral:rRNA from 1 species